rnacentral:rRNA from 1 species
CAUGCAAGUCGAACGAGAUCUUCGGAUCUAGUGGCGCACGGGUGAGUAACGCGUGGGAACCUACCAUUCUGUACGGAAUAACGCUUGGAAACGAGCGCUAAUACCGUAUACGCCCUGUGGGGGAAAGGUCCGCCGCAGAAUGAGGGGCCCGCGUCCGAUUAGUUUGUUGGUAAGGUAACGGCUUACCAAGACUACGAUCGGUAGCUGGUCUGAGAGGAUGAUCAGCCACACUGGGACUGAGACACGGCCCAGACUCCUACGGGAGGCAGCAGUGGGGAAUAUUGGACAAUGGGGGCAACCCUGAUCCAGCAAUGCCGCGUGUGUGAUGAAGGCCCUAGGGUUGUAAAGCACUUUCAAUGGUGAAGAUGAUGACGGUAGCCGUAGAAGAAGCCCCGGCUAACUUCGUGCCAGCAGCCGCGGUAAUACGAAGGGGGCGAGCGUUGUUCGGAAUUACUGGGCGUAAAGGGCGCGCAGGCGGUCAAUUUAGUUAGGUGUGAAAGCCCCGGGCUCAACCUGGGAACUGCACUUGAUACUGGUUGACUAGAAAACGGAAGAGGGCAGUGGAAUUCCCAGUGUAGAGGUGAAAUUCGUAGAUAUUGG